AUUGAACGCUGGCGGCAGGCCUAACACAUGCAAGUCGAACGAGUGGCGGACGGGUGAGUAAUGUCUGGGAAACUGCCUGAUGGAGGGGGAUAACUACUGGAAACGGUAGCUAAUACCGCAUACACUCGGCUGUGCCCAGAUUGGCUGAGCUAGUAGGUGGGGUAAAGGCUCACCAAGGCGACGAUCACUAUCUGGUCUGAGAGGACGACCAGCAACGAGGGGACUGAGACACGGCCCAGACUCCUACGGGAGGCAGCAGUGGGGAAUUUUGGACAAUGGGGGAAACCCUGAUCCAGCAAUCCCGCGGGUAUGAUGAAGGCCGUCGGGUUGGAAAGUACUGUUGGCAGAGAAGCGGUAUCUGCAGAAUAAGCACCGGCUAACGACGUGCCAGCAGCCGCGGUAAUAC
rnacentral:rRNA from 1 species